rnacentral:rRNA from 1 species
CGUGUAGGCGGCUGAUUAAGUCUGAAGUGAAAGUCCUGCUUUCAAGGUGGGAAUUGCUUUGGAGACUGGUCGGCUUGAGUGCGGAAGAGGUAAGUGGAAUUCCCAGUGUAGCGGUGAAAUGCGUAGAGAUUGGGAGGAACACCAGUGGCGAAGGCGACUUACUGGGCCGUAACUGACGCUGAGGCGCGAAAGCGUGGGGAGCGAACA